GUUUUAGUGACUGAGUUAAAUAAGUGUUAGAUUUUUAAUCUACAAACGGGACGUUAGUUCCCUAAAGCA
rnacentral:tRNA from 1 species